rnacentral:tRNA from 1 species
GGUAAGAUGGCUGAAUAAUAAGCAUUAGACUGUAAAUCUAAAUAUAAAGGUAAUAUCCUUUUCUUACCA